AUACUUACCUGGACGGGGUCAAUGGGUGAUCAAGAAGACCCACGGCUUAGGUCGGUGACCUCCAUUGCACUUCGGAGGGGUGCCGGUCUAAGGUCUGUCCACAGUGACAGAGCCUACGUCAUAAUUUGUGGUAGCGGGGGCCUGCGUUCGCGCGGCCCUUGU